rnacentral:lncRNA from 1 species
GUAACUGUGUCACCUUUCCACUUCCUUGUCUCUUUUCGCCAUCUCCAGGUCCAAUGGAUCCAUGUGUCAUAAUUCCAUGUUCUCCAUGAAACCCUAGCUCGCUGUCGAUCCUGAUCCCUUACGUGAGCUGAAGGGUUCUGAGCAAGGGAGACAGACGUACAUAUUCAUGUCGUGAAUCCCCCCCUCCUUGCACAACGGCUGCGUAAUUAACAGUGCUAGUCCCUUCAACUCCAAAUUCCAUCUUGUCUUCAUGCAAUUUAUACAUGAAAAUUCAUACUAAAUGUAGCAAAAAAACAAAAUUGAUAUGAAACGAUGAAAACACAGAAAUGAAAUCAAAAUAUAGAGCAUUAAGGUGAAUUAUGCAUAAAUAAAUAUAAUAUAAUAUGAAUUAUGCAUUAAUAUGUAAAUUUACCUGAACUGAACGGAUUGGUUCCAGCAUGGGUAGGUGUCUGCGGGCAACAGCACGUUGGUCUUCGCCACCUUGACCAAUGCAGUCGGCCGCCUCACGCGAAGCUUCCCGGAUCCCACACGUGGUUGCUGCGACCCCUCCAUUCCCCUAUAUAUACAACACGAUGGGGGUUCAAAAAAUCUCGACCACCAGCUUCUCAACAAAUCACACACCCAACACCGGGAAAGAGAGAUCGAGCUUACAGGAGACACGAGGAUGGGAAGGAAGAGAGAUGCUGAGGCCGAGCUCAACCUGCCACCGGGGUUCCGGUUCCACCCCACAGACGAGGAGCUCGUCGUGCACUACCUGUGCAGGAAGAUAGCCUGCCAGCGCCCGGCCGUACCUAUCAUCGCCGAGAUCGAUCUCUACAAAUAUGACCCUUGGGAAUUACCAGGUAUUGUAACCAUCCAAUGAUAUAAAAAUCAGUUCAUUUGUUUUUUUUUUUUUUGCCGAGGAAGAUAUCAAAUGGUUUCCAUACCUGUUGGCUAAAUUGAUUUGGCUUUGUAUGUUUGUGAUGUGAGCAGACAAAUCAUUGUUUGGACAAAGGGAGUGGUAUUUCUUCACCCCCCGUGACCGCAAGUACCCAAACGGCUCAAGGCCGAACCGGAGUGCCGGGAAGGGAUACUGGAAGGCAA